rnacentral:tRNA from 1 species
GCCUGGCUGGCUCAGUUGGUAGAGCAUGUGACUCUUGAUCUCAGGGUCGUGAGUUCAAGCCCCAUGUUGGGCG